rnacentral:tRNA from 1 species
GUGGUUGUGGCUCAGUGGUAGAGCACUCGUCUAACAUGUGUGAGGCACUGGGUUCGAUCCUCAGCACCACA